GGUGAGAUGGCCGAGCGGUCUAAGGCGUUGCACUCAAGCUGAAGCUUCAUAAUUAUAAUACAAUUACGGAAUUGCAAUCUGUUUCACAGGCGGGGGUUCGAAUCCCCCUCUCAUCA